GAUGAACGCUGGCGGCGUGCCUAAUACAUGCGAGUCGAGCGAACAGACGAUGAGCUUGCUCCUCUGACGUUAGCGGCGGACGGGUGUGUCACACGUGGAUACCCUCCCUAUAAGACUGGGAUCACUUCGGGAAACCGGAGCUAAUACCGGAUAAUAUCUUGAACCGCAUGGUUCAAUAGUGAAAGACGGUUUUGCUGUCACUUAUAGAUGGAUCCGCGCCGCAUUAGCUAGUUGGUACGGUAACGGCUUACCAAGGCAACGAUGCGUAGCCGACCUGAUAGGGUGGUCGGCCACACUGGAACGGAGACACGGUCCAGAGGCCUGCGGGAGGCAGCAGUAGGGAAUCUUCCGCAAUGGGCGAAAGCCUGACGGAGCAACGCCGCGUGAGUGAUGAAGGUCUUCGGAGCGUAAAACUCUGUUAUUAGGGAAGAACAAAUGUGUAAGUAACUAUGCACGUCUUGACGGUACCUAAUCAGAAAGCCACGGCUAACUACGUG
rnacentral:rRNA from 1 species